rnacentral:rRNA from 1 species
GAUGAACGCUGGCGGCGUGCCUAACACAUGCAAGUCGAGCGAUUUACUUCGGUAAAGAGCGGCGGACGGGUGAGUAACGCGUGGGUAACCUGCCCUAUACACACGGAUAACAUACCGAAAGGUAUGCUAAUACGAGAUAAUAUAAGAGAUUCACAUGGAUUUCUUAUCACAGCUGAGGCGGUAUAGGAUGGACCCGCGUCUGAUUAGCUAGUUGGUAAGGUAACGGCUUACCAAGGCGACGAUCAGUAGCCGACCUGAGAGGGUGAUCGGCCACAUUGGAACUGAGACACGGUCCAAACUCCUACGGGAGGCAGCAGUGGGGAAUAUUGCACAAUGGGCGAAAGCCUGAUGCAGCAACGCCGCGUGAGUGAUGAAGGCCUUCGGGUCGUAAAACUCUGUCCUCAAGGAAGAUAAUGACGGUACUUGAGGAGGAAGCCCCGGCUAACUACGUGCCAGCCGCCGCGGUAACAC